GGAAGGGGGCCCCGCGAGAAGGGGCGGAGCUCAUGCACUCUGCCCCCGCCCCUUGUGCCCAUCUCUCCUGGCUUGCCAGUGGGUCUCCUCAGUUAGCCCGCCAUCCGGCUCCCAGCUGCCUCCAGGACGGGCUGCAGAACUGAGGCCUAAAAUUUUGGUGGUUUAUUUUGGGAGAUGAUUCUAAAGAACAGGAGUGGGAGACAGCAAGCAUGAAAUAUGAAGGAAGAAAAGGCAACCUAAGGGUGUGUAACCAAGAUGAUCUCUGCUGGAAGCUACUGAGGCCCUGGAGGGACUCUACAGAGCUGUGAAGGCUGGAAGAAGUACAUAUGUACACACGGGCUCCCCUUCCCAUCGUUCAAAUGUUGUCCCGUAGUGCGAACUCUCUGGUACUUCCAGGUUUGGCUGUGGGUGAAAAUCAGAGUGGGUGGAGACAAUUAUUCUAAGCUGAGAGGCAAAGACAUGCCAGUUCACAAAACAGGAACUAUGGUAUGGCAAAAUGAACAAGGUGCUGUCAGAUUACAACUGGGCCGUUGACUGUUGCAACAACUGGAAUGAAAAGGUAGCCAAGAGGAUGUGAAGGGGGGCAAGAAAUGACCAAUGCUGAUAUAAUGGAAUAAUACAUUAAUGGAGGUUAAGAGGCAGCUCUUCCAUACAGAAUUUCAAUGAAUAAAUAAAAAGGCAUAAUGGAGACAUAAAAUUGCCAUUACUAGGCAAAUACCACAGGAAUGAUUGUUGCAGCCAAGACCUAUCCAUGCACACUAAAACUAGUGAGUAAAAGUGUAGUGCCUAACAGGGUAUUUAUGUGGUCUUAAAGCAUCUCCAUACUUUCCCCUUAUGAACUAUAAGGGAAAAAUAGUAACCUGACAGUGGAAAAACCUGGCAGUUACCACCUUAAUCCAGCAAUCCUGGGUUAACGUCAUCAGUGAUAAGACAUCCGACGUAUCUCAGUGACAGAAGGCACUGAAAGGCCACAAAAUCACUUCUGCUUCUUACUGUACUACCUUCCUGAAGUGCCUUCUCACUGUUUCUUUCUAAACACAAGAAAAUACCAGGCCAACCCAAACUGAGGGACAUUCUAUAAAAUAAUUGUCAGUACUCUUCAAAAAUGUCAAGGCCAUGAAAGAUAAACUGAGCAACGGUCUCAGAUUGGAGGAGACUGAGGAGACAUGAAAAUUGAAUGCAGUGUAAGAUCCUGGAUUGAAUUCCGAGCCAGAGAAAAGGCAUUAUUCAGAAAACUGGCAAAACUCAAAUAAGGUGUCAUUGUGAAUUUCCUAGUUAGAGUAAUUAUAUCAUGGUUGUAUAAGAUGUUAAUUAGGAGAAGCUGGAUGAAGGGGGAACUACUUUUACAACUUUUCUGUCUGUCUAAAAUUAUUUCAGGCUCAGUGCCCAUAGCACGGUGGUUAUGGCACCAACCACAUACACUGAAGUUGGUGGGUUUGAACCUGGCCCUGGCCAGCUAAAUGACAAUGACAACUGCAACAAAAAAUAGCCGGGCGUUGUGGCAGGUGCCUG